CCCUACGGGACGCAGCAGUGGGGAAUAUUGCACAAUGGGCGAAAGCCUGAUGCAGCAACGCCGCGUGAAGGAAGACGGUUUUCGGAUUGUAAACUUCUGUUCUUAGUGAAGAAUAAUGACGGUAACUAAGGAGCAAGCCACGGCUAACUACGUGCCAGCAGCCGCGGUAAUACGUAGGGGGCAAGCGUUAUCCGGAAUUAUUGGGCGUAAAGAGUACGUAGGUGGCAACCUAAGCGCAGGGUUUAAGGCAAUGGCUCAACCAUUGUUCGCCCUGCGAACUGGGAUGCUUGAGUGCAGGAGAGGAA
rnacentral:rRNA from 1 species